UUUAUGGAGAGUUUGAUCCUGGCUCAGAGUGAACGCUGGCGGCGUGCCUAAUACAUGCAAGUCGAACGAUGAAGCUUCUAGCUUGCUAGAGUGCUGAUUAGUGGCGCACGGGUGAGUAACGCAUAGGUCAUGUGCCUCUUAGUUUGGGAUAGCCAUUGGAAACGAUGAUUAAUACCAGAUACUCCCUACGGGGGAAAGAUUUAUCGCUAAGAGAUCAGCCUAUGUCCUAUCAGCUUGUUGGUAAGGUAAUGGCUUACCAAGGCUAUGACGGGUAUCCGGCCUGAGAGGGUGAACGGACACACUGGAACUGAGACACGGUCCAGACUCCUACGGGAGGCAGCAGUAGGGAAUAUUGCUCAAUGGGGGAAACCCUGAAGCAGCAACGCCGCGUGGAGGAUGAAGGUUUUAGGAUUGUAAACUCCUUUUGUUAGAGAAGAUAAUGACGGUAUCUAACGAAUAAGCACCGGCUAACUCCGUGCCAGCAGCCGCGGUAAUACGGAGGGUGCAAGCGUUACUCGGAAUCACUGGGCGUAAAGAGCACGUAGGCGGGAUAGUCAGUCAGGUGUGAAAUCCUAUGGCUUAACCAUAGAACUGCAUUUGAAACUACUAUUCUAGAGUGUGGGAGAGGUAGGUGGAAUUCUUGGUGUAGGGGUAAAAUCCGUAGAGAUCAAGAGGAAUACUCAUUGCGAAGGCGACCUGCUGGAACAUUACUGACGCUGAUUGUGCGAAAGCGUGGGGAGCAAACAGGAUUAGAUACCCUGGUAGUCCACGCCCUAAACGAUGGAUGCUAGUUGUUGGAGGGCUUAGUCUCUCCAGUAAUGCAGCUAACGCAUUAAGCAUCCCGCCUGGGGAGUACGGUCGCAAGAUUAAAACUCAAAGGAAUAGACGGGGACCCGCACAAGCGGUGGAGCAUGUGGUUUAAUUCGAAGAUACACGAAGAACCUUACCUAGGCUUGACAUUGAGAGAAUCCGCUAGAAAUAGUGGAGUGUCUAGCUUGCUAGACCUUGAAAACAGGUGCUGCACGGCUGUCGUCAGCUCGUGUCGUGAGAUGUUGGGUUAAGUCCCGCAACGAGCGCAACCCCCUUUCUUAGUUGCUAACAGGUUAUGCUGAGAACUCUAAGGAUACUGCCUCCGUAAGGAGGAGGAAGGUGGGGACGACGUCAAGUCAUCAUGGCCCUUACGCCUAGGGCUACACACGUGCUACAAUGGGGUGCACAAAGAGAAGCAAUACUGCGAAGUGGAGCCAAUCUUCAAAACAUCUCUCAGUUCGGAUUGUAGGCUGCAACUCGCCUGCAUGAAGCUGGAAUCGCUAGUAAUCGCAAAUCAGCCAUGUUGCGGUGAAUACGUUCCCGGGUCUUGUACUCACCGCCCGUCACACCAUGGGAGUUGUGUUUGCCUUAAGUCAGGAUGCUAAAUUAGCUACUGCCCACGGCACACACAGCGACUGGGGUGAAGUCGUAACAAGGUAACCGUAGGUGAACCUGCGGUUGGAUCACCUCCUUUCUAGA
rnacentral:rRNA from 1 species